rnacentral:rRNA from 1 species
GACGAACGCUGGCGGCGUGCUUAACACAUGCAAGUCGAACGGAAAGGCCCUGCUUUUGUGGGGUGCUCGAGUGGCGAACGGGUGAGUAACACGUGAGUAACCUGCCCUUGACUUUGGGAUAACUUCAGGAAACUGGGGCUAAUACCGGAUAGGAGCUCCUGCUGCAUGGUGGGGGUGGGAAAGGUUCGGCGGUUGGGGAUGGACUCGCGGCUUAUCAGCUUGUUGGUGGGGUAGUGGCUUACCAAGGCUUUGACGGGUAGCCGGCCUGAGAGGGUGACCGGCCACAUUGGGACUGAGAUACGGCCCAGACUCCUACGGGAGGCAGCAGUGGGGAAUAUUGCACAAUGGGCGGAAGCCUGAUGCAGCAACGCCGCGUGCGGGAUGACGGCCUUCGGGUUGUAAACCGCUUUCGCCUGUGACGAAGCGUGAGUGACGGUAAUGGGUAAAGAAGCACCGGCUAACUACGUG